rnacentral:lncRNA from 1 species
AAAAUGCAAAAAAAAGAAUGAGAAAAAACCGUCAGGGGUUUGGCGGAUGAGGGCAACAGCCGCGCUGGUCCAAGUAGGCCAGGCAAGCGCGGCGGCCAGAGGCAACUGCCGCGGCAUAGGUCUCGGCAUCAAGGGGACAGCCGGUCUCGCACAGGUAGUGCAGACAUCGGAGGUGCCCGCCGGCCGCAGCCCGCAGAGCGAGACCCGCGUGCCACAGACAUCUUUUUUCGUCCCGACAGUAGCGCAAGAUGUCAAGGUGACCGCCGGCCGCAGCGGCCUCGAUGCAUGCGUGUCGAUCCCACCCGCACCGAACACCAUGCAGGUAGCGCAAUACAUCCACAUGGCCGUUGGCGGCGGCCGCCAGGCACGCCCUCUUGUCGCCCACGCAGCCAUUGUCGUAAAGGUAUUGGAUAGUGGCAAGAUGACCGGCGGCCGCCACAAUGGCCAUGGUCUUUGGCCCAGAACACAAUGGCCAGCCGUUGGUAUGGGCGUAGCGCAGCGCGUCGAGGUGACCACCAGUGGCGGCCGCACUGCAGACGGUCACGUCCCAACUGCGAUCAUGAUCGGGGUAAAGAGAGGCAAUCAAGCCCAGGACGUCGGCGCGGCCCUUGCUCGCGGCACGCCUGCAUGCUGACACGAACCAGGACGCGUGGAUCCCGCGACCCAUCACGUCGCGGAGGACGCCGAGAUCGGUCACUUUGGCGGUAUCGAUGCAUUGAUACCAUCCGAUCGACGACAACCCAUUCUCAUGGAGAAAGCGCACGCAUUCAACGUGCCCACCGGCAAAGGCGUACUGGUCGAGGUCCGGGUAAUAGGGGACGCCCCCGUCGUGGAGGAAGCGCAUGCAAUCAAUAUGGCCCUCGGACGCGGCGGCGCGCAUAGCAGAUUCACUCGGCAGACAGCCGCGCGACCACAGAAAGGUCACAGCGUCCAUGUGGCCGCGGGCAGCGGCUGCGGCAAGAGCCGUUGUGUCCCAUUUGAGACCGCGAUCAUGCAGAAAUUCGAGUACAUCAAUACGACCCGCAGACGCGGCCUUGGCGCAGAGAUCGUGACCGGUCCGAUCAUGUGGACAGCCCUGGUCCAGAGCGUAUCCGAGGCAGUCGAGACGGCCAUGCUCGGCGGCCUGGAGGCAGGUAUCGCGGUGCCAAUUGCAUCCCUGGCUGCGGGCAUAGACGAGGCAAUGCAGAUGACCCGCGCGCGCCGCAGCGGCACACGUCGCCGCGCCCCAGACUGGCCACCCUCGCGCGCGUGACGCAGACAACCAAGGUGGCCGGCAGCGGCAGCCGCCCUGCACCACGUGGACGUAUUGCGCAAGUCGACGCCCGACACGCAGGGUGCGCGCGGCAUCGCGCUGCGGUCGCCGAGUAUGGCCCUCCAUGUGCGACACACGGCCUUGGGCGCGCCGCUGGCCACGACGCAGGGCAGAAAGGAAAACACCAGGGCGAGCAACUCGUCAGGCAGGUCCUCCAUGAGGGUCUUUUUUUUCUCUCUUGUUCAAAAAAACCACCACCUGUACGCUCUUUGUUUUUUCGAUUUUUU